UAGCAAUACAUAGUGGCGCACGGGUGAGUAACACGUGGGAACAUGCCUUUUAGUUCGGGAUAACAUCGGGAAACUGGUGCUAAUACCGGAUACGCCCUCCGGGGGAAAGAUUUAUCGCUAAAAGAUUGGCCCGCGUUAGAUUAGGUAGUUGGUGGGGUAAUGGCCUACCAAGCCUACGAUCUAUAGCUGGUCUGAGAGGACGACCAGCCACACUGGAACUGAGACACGGUCCAG
rnacentral:rRNA from 1 species